CCGGAUCAUCAAGCGGACAAGCCGGAGGGAGUUCAAAGGGAAAAGGCGCGCUUUAAAGUUUUUCAGGUUUUCUAGUAGAUGGGUGAUGAUCAGGCAGGAGCAACUGAACCGAACACUCUAACAAACGCUUCCGCACAUGAUCUUAUGUUUUAAAAAACUAUGUAAACAUUUGUGGUCAACGACUCAAUUAUGGUUUUGUACAAACAAUACAUGUAUGUUGUGUCUAGUUAUGGUCUAGAAUAUUAAAA